AACGACGCUGGCGGCGUACCUAACACAUGCAAGUCGUACGAGAAAUUCCGAUUCGUCGGGAGAGUAAAGUGGCGAACGGGUGAGUAACACUAGGGUAAUCUUCCCUUAAAUAAGGGAUAACGUUGCGAAAGCGACGCUAAUACCUUAUAAGACUACGAUCUCUUAGGAGGUAGUAGGAAAAGAUGGCCUCUGUUUCAAGCUAUCGUUUAAGGAUGAGCCCUAGCACUAUUAGCUAGUUGGUGAGGUAACGGCUCACCAAGGCGACGAUGGUUAGCUGGUCUGAGAGGAUGGCCAGCCACACUGGAACUGAGACACGGUCCAGACUCCUACGGGAGGCAGCAGUGAGGAAUAUUGCGCAAUGGGGGCAACCCUGACGCAGUGACGCCGCGUGAGUGAUGAAGGCUUUCGAGUCGUAAAGCUCUGUUAGGUGGAAAGAAACAUCCCGGCGCUAAUAUCGUCGGGACUUGACGGUACCACCAGAGGAAGCACCGGCUAACUCCGUG
rnacentral:rRNA from 1 species